UACGAAGGGGGCUAGCGUUGUUCGGAAUUACUGGGCGUAAAGGGCGCGCAGGCGGCCUGACAAGUCAGAUGUGAAAGCCCCGGGCUCAACCUGGGAAUAGCAUUUGGGACUGUUGGGCUAGAGAUCGGGAGAGGAGAGUGGAAUUCCCAGUGUAGAGGUGAAAUUCGUAGAUAUUCGCAAGAACACCAGUGGCGAAGGCGGCUCACUGGCCCGGUACUGACGCUGAGGUGCGAAAGCGUGGGGAGCAAACAGGG
rnacentral:rRNA from 1 species